AACGAACGCUGGCGGCGUGGAUAAGACAUGCAAGUCGAACGGGAUUACUUUUGGUAGCAAUACCGAAAGUAAUUCAGUGGCGAACGGGUGCGUAACACGUGGGCAAUCUGCCGAAAAGUGGGGGAUAGCUCGCCGAAAGGCGAAUUAAUACCGCAUGUGGUGAGGGACGACAUCUUCCUGAAUCCAAAGCCGGGGCAACCUGGCGCUUUUUGAGGAGCCCGCGGCCUAUCAGCUGUUGGCGGGGUAACGGCCCACCAAGGCUAUGACGGGUAGCUGGUCUGAGAGGACGACCAGUCACACUGGAACUGAGACACGGUCCAGACACCUACGGGUGGCAGCAGUCGAGUAAUUUUUCUCAAGUGGGGGAAACCCUGAAGGAGCGACGCCGCGUGGAGGAUGAAGGUCUUUCGGGUU
rnacentral:rRNA from 1 species